rnacentral:rRNA from 1 species
AACGCACCUUGCGCCCUUUGGCUAUUCCAAAGGGCAUGCCUGUUUGAGUAUCAUGAACAUCUCAACUCCUCAUGGCUUGUGGCUGUGAUGAGCUUGGACUUUGGAGGCCUUGCUGGCUUUACAGUCAGCUCCUCUUAAAUGAAUCAGCUUGCCAGUGUUCGGUGGCAUCACAGGUGUGAUAACUAUCUACGCUUGUGGCUUUCCGCCGGGUAACCUUCAUCGCUGAAGGUUCACUGGGGCUCAUAAAUGUCUCUCCUCAGUGAAGACAGCUCUUUGAACGUUUGAUCUCAAAUCAGGUAGGACUACCCGCUGAACUUA